rnacentral:rRNA from 1 species
GUGAGUAACGCGUGAGUAACCUGCCUUAAACAGGGGGACAACACAGAGAAAUUUGUGCUAAUACCGCAUAAAUUCAUUAGAGGGCAUCCUCAAGAUGAACAAAGGAGAAAUCCGGUUUAAGAUGGACUCGCGUCCAAUUAGCUAGUUGGUAGGGUAAUGGCCUACCAAGGCGACGAUUGGUAGCCGAACUGAGAGGUUGAUCGGCCACAUUGGGACUGAGACACGGCCCAAACUCC